rnacentral:rRNA from 1 species
UAUUUUAUUUGAUGUAUUAGGACUAUAACUAUGUUAAAUUAUAGAUAACAAUAAUACAAUAAGAAUAAGAUCUAUCAGUUAGUUGUUAAGGUAAUGGCUUAACAAGACUAUGACGGAUAACGGUAUUACUUUGUAAUAUUCCGGAGAAGGAGCCUGAGAGAUUGCUACUAAGUCUAAGGAUUGCAGCAGGGGCGAAACUUGACCUAUGAUAUGAUAUUGAGGCAGUUAUGAGUAGUAUUUUAUAAUUAUUGUAGUAUUGUAAGUAUAUACUACAAGAUAAAUCGGAGGGCAAAUCGAGUGC